UAGGGAAUCUUCGGCAAUGGACGAAAGUCUGACCGAGCAACGCCGCGUGAGUGAAGAAGGUUUUCGGAUCGUAAAACUCUGUUGUUAGAGAAGAACAAGGACGUUAGUAACUGAACGUCCCCUGACGGUAUCUAACCAGAAAGCCACGGCUAACUACGUGCCAGCAGCCGCGGUAAUACGGAGGUGGCAAGCGUUGUCCGGAUUUAUUGGGCGUAAAGCGAGCGCAGUCGGUUUCUUAAGUCUGAUGUGAAAGCCCCCGGCUCAACCGGGGAGGGUCAUUGGAAACUGGGAGACUUGAGUGCAGAAGAGGGGAGUGGAAUUCCAUGUGUAGCGGUGAAAUGCGUAGAUAUAUGGAGGAACACCAGUGGCGAAGGCGGCUCUCUGGUCUGUAACUGACGCUGAGGCUCGAAAGCGUGGGGAGCAAACAGG
rnacentral:rRNA from 1 species